rnacentral:rRNA from 1 species
AAACUUUCAACACGGAUCUCUUGGUUCUGGCAUCGAUGAAGAACGCAGCGAAAUGCGAUAAGUAGUGUGANUUGCAAAAUNCAGUGANUCAUCGAAUCUUUGANCGCACAUNGCGCCCCUUGGNAUCCCCGAGGGCAUGCCUGUNCNAGCGUCAUUUCACCA